rnacentral:rRNA from 1 species
GACGAACGCUGGCGGCGUGCUUAACACAUGCAAGUCGAACGGAAAGGCCCUGCUUUUGUGGGGUGCUCGAGUGGCGAACGGGUGAGUAACACGUGAGUAACCUGCCCUUGACUUUGGGAUAACUUCAGGAAACUGGGGCUAAUACCGGAUAGGAGCUCCUGCUGCAUGGUGGGGGUUGGAAAGUUUCGGCGGUUGGGGAUGGACUCGCGGCUUAUCAGCUUGUUGGUGGGGUAGUGGCUUACCAAGGCUUUGACGGGUAGCCGGCCUGAGAGGGUGACCGGCCACAUUGGGACUGAGAUACGGCCCAGACUCCUACGGGAGGCAGCAGUGGGGAAUAUUGCACAAUGGGAGGAAGCCUGAUGCAGAAACGCCGCGUGCGGGAUGACGGCCUUCGGGUUGUAAACCGCUUUCGCCUGUGACGAAGCGGGAGUGACGGUAAUGGGUAAAGAAGCACCGGCUAACUACGUG